AUCCUGGCUCAGGAUGAACGCUAGCGGCAAGCUUAACACAUGCAAGUCGAGGGGUAUAGUUCUUCGGAAUUAGAGACCGGCGCACGGGUGCGUAACGCGUAUGCAAUCUACCUUCACAGAGGGAUAGCCCAGAGAAAUUUGGAUUAAUACCUCAUAGUAUAGCAGUUUCGCAUGAAACCACUAUUAAAGUCACAACGGUGAAAGAUGAGCAUGCGUCCCAUUAGCUAGUUGGUAAGGUAACGGCUUACCAAGGCAACGAUGGGUAGGGGUCCUGAGAGGGAGAUCCCCCCACACUGGUACUGAGACACGGACCAGACUCCUACGGGAGGCAGCAGUGAGGAAUAUUGGACAAUGGGCGCAAGCCUGAUCCAGCCAUGCCGCGUGCAGGAUGACGGUCCUAUGGAUUGUAAACUGCUUUUAUACAGGAAGAAACACUACUUCGUGAAGUAGCUUGACGGUACUGUAAGAAUAAGGAUCGGCUAACUCCGUG
rnacentral:rRNA from 1 species